GCGAACGCUGGCGGCGCGCCUAACACAUGCAAGUCGAACGAGCGAGAGAGAGCUUGCUUUCUUGAGCGAGUGGCGAACGGGUGAGUAACGCGUGAGGAACCUGCCUCAAAGAGGGGGACAACAGUUGGAAACGACUGCUAAUACCGCAUAAGCCCACGGUGCCGCAUGGCACAGAGGGAAAAGGAGCAAUCCGCUUUGAGAUGGCCUCGCGUCCGAUUAGCUAGUUGGUGAGGUAACGGCCCACCAAGGCGACGAUCGGUAGCCGGACUGAGAGGUUGAACGGCCACAUUGGGACUGAGACACGGCCCAGACUCCUACGGGAGGCAGCAGUGGGGAAUAUUGCACAAUGGGGGAAACCCUGAUGCAGCGACGCCGCGUGGAGGAAGAAGGUCUUCGGAUUGUAAACUCCUGUUGUUGGGGAAGAUAAUGACGGUACCCAACAAGGAAGUGACGGCUAACUACGUG
rnacentral:rRNA from 1 species